rnacentral:rRNA from 1 species
GAAUGCUGACAUAAGUAACGAUAAAGCGGGUGAAAAGCCCGCUCGCCGGAAGACCAAGGGUUCCUGUCCAACGUUAAUCGGGGCAGGGUGAGUCGACCCCUAAGGCGAGGCCGAAAGGCGUAGUCGAUGGGAAACGGGUUAAUAUUCCCGUACUUGGUGUUACUGCGAAGGGGGGACGGAGAAGGCUAUGUUGGCCGGGCGACGGUUGUCCCGGUUUAAGCGUGUAGGUGUGUGUUCCAGGUAAAUCCGGUUCACUUUAACACUGAGGCGUGACGACGAGGCACUACGGUGCUGAAGCAACAAAUGCCCUGCUUCCAGGAAAAGCCUCUAAGCAUCAGGUAACAUCAAAUCGUACCCCAAACCGACACAGGUGGUCAGGUAGAGAAUACCAAGGCGCUUGAGAGAACUCGGGUGAAGGAACUAGGCAAAAUGGUGCCGUAACUUCGGGAGAAGGCACGCUGACACGUAGGUGAAGUGAUUUACUCAUGGAGCUGAAGUCAGUCGAAGAUACCAGCUGGCUGCAACUGUUUAUUAAAAACACAGCACUGUGCAAACACGAAAGUGGACGUAUACGGUGUGACGCCUGCCCGGUGCCGGAAGGUUAAUUGAUGGGGUCAGCGCAAGCGAAGCUCCUGAUCGAAGCCCCGGUAAACGGCGGCCGUAACUAUAACGGUCCUAAGGUAGCGAAAUUCCUUGUCGGGUAAGUUCCGACCUGCACGAAUGGCGUAAUGAUGGCCAGGCUGUCUCCACCCGAGACUCAGUGAAAUUGAACUCGCUGUGAAGAUGCAGUGUACCCGCGGCAAGACGGAAAGACCCCGUGAACCUUUACUAUAGCUUGACACUGAACAUUGAGCCUUGAUGUGUAGGAUAGGUGGGAGGCUUUGAAGUGUGGACGCCAGUCUGCAUGGAGCCGACCUUGAAAUACCACCCUUUAAUGUUUGAUGUUCUAACGUGGACCCGUUACCCGGGUUGCGGACAGUGUCUGGUGGGUAGUUUGACUGGGGCGGUCUCCUCCUAAAGAGUAACGGAGGAGCACGAAGGUUGGCUAAUCCUGGUCGGACAUCAGGAGGUUAGUGCAAUGGCAUAAGCCAGCUUGACUGCGAGCGUGACGGCGCGAGCAGGUGCGAAAGCAGGUCAUAGUGAUCCGGUGGUUCUGAAUGGAAGGGCCAUCGCUCAACGGAUAAAAGGUACUCCGGGGAUAACAGGCUGAUACCGCCCAAGAGUUCAUAUCGACGGCGGUGUUUGGCACCUCGAUGUCGGCUCAUCACAUCCUGGGGCUGAAGUAGGUCCCAAGGGUAUGGCUGUUCGCCAUUUAAAGUGGUACGCGAGCUGGGUUUAGAACGUCGUGAGACAGUUCGGUCCCUAUCUGCCGUGGGCGCUGGAGAACUGAGGGGGGCUGCUCCUAGUACGAGAGGACCGGAGUGGACGCAUCACUGGUGUUCGGGUUGUCAUGCCAAUGGCACUGCCCGGUAGCUAAAUGCGGAAGAGAUAAGUGCUGAAAGCAUCUAAGCACGAAACUUGCCCCGAGAUGAGUUCUCCCUGAGACUUAAAGUCUCCUGAAGGAACGUUGAAGACGACGACGUUGAUAGGCCGGGUGUGUAAGCGCAGC